rnacentral:rRNA from 1 species
UACGAAGGGGGCUAGCGUUGCUCGGAAUUACUGGGCGUAAAGCGCACGUAGGCGGACUCUUAAGUCGGUGGUGAAAUCCUGGAGCUCAACUCCAGAACUGCCUUCGAUACUGAGAGUCUCGAGUCCGAGAGAGGUGAGUGGAACUGCGAGUGUAGAGGUGAAAUUCGUAGAUAUUCGCAAGAACACCAGUGGCGAAGGCGGCUCACUGGCUCGGUACUGACGCUGAGGUGCGAAAGCGUGGGGAGCAAACAGG